UGUGUGUGUGUGUGUGUGUGUGUGUGUGUGUGUGUGUUCUGGUAAUCAUCACGCGAUGGGGACCGUUGACUGUUUACACAGUCACGUCAUGGGGACCGGUUGCGCUUUGGGGACCAAAAUCCCGGUCCCCAUGAGGAUAACCCUUUUAAAUGACUACUAGAGCUACUCUGAAGGUGCCCGUGAAGUUUUAAGCAUUGGCCCAUACGACAUGUUUUUUGGUGAGUGUGAGUGUGUGAGCAUUGCUCAUUGGUGGCCCUACUGUUUCUAGUUAGUACUGCACCCACUGCUUCACACACACACAUCUUCCAAAUAUGGUUGGGUGCCACCCACUUCCUUGUCCCCAUUAGGAAUGAUUCAAGCAGCGAGGACAUUUUCAGCAUCAAGAGGUAGCUAUCAACAGUAAAAGAAGAUUAUUUGCUGGAGAAACUAGCUAAGAAGAUAAGAACAUGUGCAGAGGAGCAAAAGUAAAGCAUAAGAAAUGCCACCACGGAUCAGCAAUUCAACAUGAUACACAUCUGCAAAUUAGAGGUCCAGUAUAUUUAUGCAGCAAAAGUAUUGAUGCCUUCAGAGAAGAUGGCUCAAUUGGGUGACAAGUUAAUGAUGAACACAGACGUCCUUACUCCAAAAUGAAAAAAAUUGGUGUUAAUGGAGAACCCCACCUUUGUUUAUUUGCCCUGGAUGACAUCAAAGAAGGAGAAGAAAUCGCCUAUAACUAUGGAGGUGAAGACUGCCCAUGGCAAACACAGGUAUGUAGCACAGAACACAGCAAAUACAAUGAGUCAAGUAUCACAACAAAUAGUAGAAUGAGAAAUAUGUGGACCUAAUUUGGCUGUAUUAAUAUUGUUAUAACCAUGUACACGUUACAUAUACAAAAAAUACCAGGAUUGC